AUUGAACGCUGGCGGCAGGCCUAACACAUGCAAGUCGAACGGUAACAGGAAGCAGCUUGCUGCUUUGCUGACGAGUGGCGGACGGGUGAGUAAUGUCUGGGAAACUGCCCGAUGGAGGGGGAUAACUACUGGAAACGGUAGCUAAUACCGCAUAACGUCGCAAGACCAAAGAGGGGGACCUUAGGGCCUCUUGCCAUCGGAUGUGCCCAGAUGGGAUUAGCUAGUAGGUGGGGUAACGGCUCACCUAGGCGACGAUCCCUAGCUGGUCUGAGAGGAUGACCAGCCACACUGGAACUGAGACACGGUCCAGACUCCUACGGGAGGCAGCAGUGGGGAAUAUUGCACAAUGGGCGCAAGCCUGAUGCAGCCAUGCCGCGUGUAUGAAGAAGGCCUUCGGGUUGUAAAGUACUUUCAGCGGGGAGGAAGGGAGUAAAGUUAAUACCUUGGCUAAUUGACGUUACCCGCAGAAGAAGCACCGGCUAACUCCGUG
rnacentral:rRNA from 1 species